rnacentral:lncRNA from 1 species
CACUGUAAAAAAAAAUAUAUAACACAAAAUCAAAGAUUAUUAUCCGAAAUUGUAGGUGAAAAGGAAUACGAUAGCUUUAAUACAACAGACUUUAAUCCUCUAGCACAGGAAGAAGAUAUAAAGCUGAAACUUAAUGUUUCAAAAGAUGAUAUAAAACUAGAAAAUGAUGUAGAACUAGAUGAUAGUGUAAAAUUAGAAAAUAAUGUAAAAUUAGCACUUGGUAUAAAUUUAGAAGAUGAUAUAAAAUUAAAAAAUAGUAUAAAAAUAGAAGAUGAUGUACAAUUAGAAAGUAAUGAAAAAUUAGAAGAUAAUAAAACAUUAGAAGAUAAUAAAACAUUAGAAGAUANNNNNNNNNNAGAUAAUAAAACAUUAGAAGAUAAUAAAACAUUAGAAGAUAAUAAAAAAUUAGAAGAUAAUAAAAAAUUAGAAGACGAUAUAAAAUUAGAAGAUAAUGUAAAAUUAGACGAUAGUAAAAAACUAAGAAAUGAUGUAGGACCAGAAAAAGAUAUAGCAUAUAAAAAUAAUUUAGUAUAUGAUGAUUUAGAACAUGAUGAUGAUUUAGAUUGUGAUGAUGAUUUAGAACAUGAUUAUUAUAAAAAAUAUGAUGAAGAUGUUAAACCAUAUGAUGAUAUAGAGCAUGAUAAUAAUUUAGAACAAAAUAAUGAAUAUGAUGAAAAUAUUAUAACAAAUUUAAGUAAUGUAAUUAAAAAUGAACAGAGAUCUAGAUUUAAUAAAUCAUAUAUACUCGAUCAAUUCAUUGAAAAUUUUGAUAUAUACGCAUAUAAUAGUAAAUCUAUACAUAGCGAUUUAGAUACACAUAAUAAUGCAAAUGAUGAUUCAUGUGUCCACAGUGAUGUAGCCACAUUAGGUGAUUCAAACGAUAUCGAUAACACUAAAGAAUUAAAUGAUUUUGACGAUUUUACUGAUGAAGUUAAAAGUGGUUAUAUUACUAGAUCAGAUGAAUCAGGGGGCUAUGUAGAUAGUGAAAUGUCAACAAGUGAUACACAAGAAAUAUUAAAUAAUGCAGUAUAUAAAGCAUGUGCUACAUGUAUUAAAAAUAUACCAGGUGCUAAAAAAAGAUAUAACAACUGGGAUUAUGACUCAGAUAAAGAUAAUGAAAAUGAAUUAAAAGUAAGAUCUAAAGUAUACAAGAAUUUUCAUAAAUCCAGAAGUUACGGUAAAUAUAACACUAAAAAUAAAAAUAAAUAUGACUAUGAUAAGCAUACUAAUGAUAAUCAGGAUCAGGUAAGAAUGAUUGAUUAUAAAAAAAAAAAUAAAACAAUAUGA